GCCGCUGUGGCGAAAUGGCAGACGCAGGGGACUUAAAAUCCCCAGAUCGCAAGAUCGUGCGGGUUCAAGUCCCGCCAGCGGCACCA
rnacentral:tRNA from 1 species